AUACGUAGGGGGCGAGCGUUGUCCGGAAUUACUGGGCGUAAAGGGUGCGUAGGCGGCCUAUUAAGUUGGAUGUGAAAUACCCGGGCUUAACUUGGGGGGUGCAUCCGAUACUGGCAGGCUAGAGUGCAGGAGAGGGAAGCGGAAUUCCUAGUGUAGCGGUGAAAUGCGUAGAUAUUAGGAGGAACACCAGUGGCGAAGGCGGCUUUCUGGACUGUAACUGACGCUGAGGCACGAAAGCGUGGGGAGCAAACAGGAUUAGAUACCCUGGUAGUCCACGCGGUAAACGAUGAAUACUAGGUGUAGGGGGUAUCAACUCCCCCUGUGCCGGAGCUAACGCAAUAAGUAUUCCGCCUGGGGAGUACGGCCGCAAGGUUGAA
rnacentral:rRNA from 1 species